rnacentral:rRNA from 1 species
AGCGAACGCUGGCGGCAGGCCUAACACAUGCAAGUCGAACGAACCCUUCGGGGUUAGUGGCGGACGGGUGAGUAACACGUGGGAACGUGCCUUUAGGUUCGGAAUAACUCAGGGAAACUUGUGCUAAUACCGAAUGUGCCCUUCGGGGGAAAGAUUUAUCGCCUUUAGAGCGGCCCGCGUCUGACUAGCUAGUUGGUGAGGUAAUGGCUCACCAAGGCUGCGAUCAGUAGCUGGUCUGAGAGGGUGACCAGCCACAUUGGGACUGAGACACGGCCCAAACUCCUACGGGAGGCAGCAGUGGGGAAUCUUGCGCAAUGGGCGAAAGCCUGACGCAGCCAUGCCGCGUGGAUGAUGAAGGUCUUAGGAUUGUAAAAUCCUUUCACCGGUGAAGAUAAUGACUGUAGCCGGAGAAGAAGCCCCGGCUAACUUCGUGCCAGCAGCCGCCGUAAAAC